rnacentral:rRNA from 1 species
UACGGAGGGGGCUAGCGUUGUUCGGAAUUACUGGGCGUAAAGCGCGCGCAGGCGGUUUCUCAAGUCGGGCGUGAAAGCCCGGGGCUCAACCCCGGAAUUGCGUUCGAGACUGGGCGACUCGAGUCCGGGAGAGGGUAGCGGAAUUCCCAGUGUAGAGGUGAAAUUCGUAGAUAUUGGGAAGAACACCGGUGGCGAAGGCGGCUACCUGGCCCGGUACUGACGCUGAGGCGCGACAGCGUGGGGAG